rnacentral:rRNA from 1 species
UACGAAGGGGGCUAGCGUUGUUCGGAUUUACUGGGCGUAAAGCGUACGUAGGUGGCUUUUCAAGUCAGGGGUGAAAUCCCAGAGCUUAACUCUGGAAUUGCCUUUGAAACUGACGAGCUAGAGGAAGUUAGAGGUUAGUGGAAUUCCUAGUGUAGGAGUGAAAUCCGUAGAUAUUAGGAGGAACAUCAAUGGCGAAGGCAGCUAACUGGGACUUAUCUGACACUGAGGUACGAAAGCGUGGGGAUCAAACAGG